AAACCAAAAAAAAGGCAUACCCACAGAACUUGCAGCUCAAUGAAACGAGGUGUGAAGUUUCGCUGCAAGAUUUGAUGGAACAAACAGUCAAAAGCUUAUGCAAUUUUUUGAAGUUGCCACCUUGUGAAGACAAUACUAAGCAAAAAUUAGUUUUGUUUGUCAAAUAUGGGUUUGAUGAAACGAACAGGAAUAGAUACAAACAAAAAUCGAACGAAAAAAGUAGUGUACUUAACUACAUGUUUUGUUCUUGUAUAGUUCCGCUACAAUUAGUUGAUAGAAACGAUGGUAAAAUGUAUUAGUCGAAUUCGAGACCAUCAUCUACUAGAUUCUGUCGACCUAUAAAAAUUUUGUAUCAAAAAGAAACUGACGAACUUUGUAAAAUGCAAGAAGAUGAUUUAAAAGAACAAAUCGGCUAUUUAAAUGAUAUUGAAGUUGGAGACUAUAGAAUUGGAUGUAAUAUGAUGCCGACAAUGAUUGAUGAAAAGGUUUGCAAUGCUUUACACGAUACGUCAUCACAAAAGUGUUUUGUUUGCGAUGCAACUAUAUCUCAGCUAAAUAAUAUUAAUUGUUUGCUUAAUAAGCCAACCAAGGAAUCAACCUUAUAGCAUGGAUUUUCAGUCCUCCGUGCACAUAUUCGAUUUAUGAAACUUGUUUUACAUAUUUCCUAUCGCAUGGUAGAGUGUGGAUUGUUUAUAUAAAGGUUCCAAAGAAAAAAGAAUAUGUCAUUAUUGCUCGUAAAAAGUAGAUUCAAGAUGGGCUUCAUGAAGAGAUUGGCAUAUUAGUGUGUGCUCCAAUACAAGGCUCUGGAAACACUAAUGAUGGCAAAACAGCUACAAGAUUCUUUAACAGUGUUGAUGUUGUUGCAAGAAUUACAGGUAUUGACGAAGAAUUACUGCAAAGAUUUAAAGUUAUUCUUGCGGUUGUCUUUUCUGAAUACUCAAUUAAUACUACAGCGUUUCAAGAUUAUACUGAAGAUACAGCAAGACGAUACGUAUAUUUAUAUGGAUGGUACUCGAUCGAUGCAUGUACUUUUAUUACAUGGUUAUAAAAUAAUAAGAGAACUAUUGUUACCUAUUGGUAUGCUCUCAGAAGAAGCUCAAGAAGCAAUCACAAAAAUGUAAAAAGGUUCAGAGAUAGGUUUUUAAGAAAAAUGUCAAGAGUUGAAACUAACAAAGAUAUGUUCAACGAUUACGAUUGCUUUUCAACGAUUACUUUUUAAUUCUAAUCCACACUUGUCCCUAUUGAAUCAAUCACCAGCAAAGAAAUCAACUAAAUUAACUGAAGAUAUGAAGAGAUUAUUGAUUAGUGAAGAAAACGAGGAAAUGAGUUAUGAUUCUAGCGAAAGUGAAGGCGAGGACACUGACAGUGAAAUUUAAUAAUUUGUUGUUUCGAAAAUUUUAUUUAUCGUAACUUGCGAAAUGUACAUUUUAAAAAUAUUUUUUAUUCA